GCCUGGAUGGCUCAGUUGGUUAAGCAUCCGACUUUGGCCCAGGUCAUGAUCUCACGGUCCGUGGGUUCAAGACCCGCUUCGGGCU
rnacentral:tRNA from 1 species